GGCAGGUUGUAGAAGGAGCUGCACCUCCGGGCUGCGAGACCGGCGCGUGCCUGGGUUUGGCUUGGGCCAGAGGGCCUGAGGCUGGGAGCCC